CAAGCCUGAUCCAGCCAUACCGCGUGGGUGAAGAAGGCCUUCGGGUUGUAAAGCCCUUUUGUUGGGAAAGAAAUCCAGCCGGCUAAUACCUGGUUGGGAUGACGGUACCCAAAGAAUAAGCACCGGCUAACUUCGCGCCAGCAGCCGCGGUAAUACGAAGGGUGCAAGCGUUACUCGGAAUUACUGGGCGUAAAGCGUGCGUAGGUGGUCGUUUAAGUCAGGGGUGAAAUCCCAGAGCUCAACUCUGGAACUGCCUUUGAUACUGGGUAUCUUGAGUAUGGAAGAGGUAAGUGGAAUUCCGAGUGUAGAGGUGAAAUUCGUAGAUAUUCGGAGGAACACCAGUGGCGAAGGCGGCUUACUGGUCCAUUACUGACGCUGAGGUGCGAAAGCGUGGGGAGCAAACA
rnacentral:rRNA from 1 species